UGGUGGGUAGUUUGACUGGGGCGGUCUCCUCCUAAAGAGUAACGGAGGAGCACGAAGGUUGGCUAAUCCUGGUCGGACAUCAGGAGGUUAGUGCAAUGGCAUAAGCCAGCUUGACUGCGAGCGUGACGGCGCGAGCAGGUGCGAAAGCAGGUCAUAGUGAUCCGGUGGUUCUGAAUGGAAGGGCCAUCGCUCAACGGAUAAAAGGUACUCCGGGGAUAACAGGCUGAUACCGCCCAAGAGUUCAUAUCGACGGCGGUGUUUGGCACCUCGAUGUCGGCUCAUCACAUCCUGGGGCUGAAGUAGGUCCCAAGGGUAUGGCUGUUCGCCAUUUAAAGUGGUACGCGAGCUGGGUUUAGAACGUCGUGAGACAGUUCGGUCCCUAUCUGCCGUGGGCGCUGGAGAAUUGAGGGGGGCUGCUCCUAGUACGAGAGGACCGGAGUGGACGCAUCACUGGUGUUCGGGUUGUCAUGCCAAUGGCACUGCCCGGUAGCUAAAUGCGGAAGAGAUAAGUGCUGAAAGCAUCUAAGCACGAAACUUGCCCCGAGAUGAGUUCUCCCUGACUCCUUGAGAGUCCUGAAGGAACGUUGAAGACGACGACGUUGAUAGGCCGGGUGUGUAAGCGCAGCGAUGCGUUGAGCUAACCGGUACUAAUGAACCGU
rnacentral:rRNA from 1 species